UACGUAGGGUGCGAGCGUUAAUCGGAAUUGCUGGGCGUAAAGCGUGCGCAGGCGGUGAUGUAAGACCGAUGUGAAAUCCCCCGGGCUUAACCUGGGAACUGCAUUGGUGACUGCAUUGCUGGAGUAUGGCAGAGGGGGGUGGAAUUCCACGUGUAGCAGUGAAAUGCGUAGAGAUGUGGAGGAACACCGAUGGCGAAGGCAGCCCCCUGGGCCAAUACUGACGCUCAUGCACGAAGCGUGGGAGCAACAGG
rnacentral:rRNA from 1 species